rnacentral:rRNA from 1 species
UCAUUUAGAGGAAGUAAAAGUCGUAACAAGGUUUCCGUAGGUGAACCUGCGGAAGGAUCAUUCACAAACGAGUGUUUUAUGGCACUCUUUAAAAAUCCAUAUCCACCUUGUGUGCAAUGUUUGUUGGGAAAGUCUUUUCUUUCCCUUCAUAAAUAUCAACCUAUAUCUUUAACAACAUUCGUCUGAUAACAUAUUAUGAAUAUACUUAAUUCAAAAUAUAACUUUCAACAACGGAUCUCUUGGCUCUCGCAUCGAUGAAGAACGCAGCGAAAUGCGAUACGUAAUGUGAAUUGCAGAAUUCAGUGAAUCAUCGAAUCUUUGAACGCAUAUUGCGCUCUUUGGUAUUCCGAAGAGCAUGCUUGUUUGAGUAUCAGUAAACACCUCAACCUCUCUUUUUGACAAAAAAAGGAGGGUGGACUUGAGCUAUCCCAACGACCUUCACCGGUAGGCGGGCGGCUUGAAAUGCAGGUGCAGCUGGACUUUUAUCUGAGCUAAAAGCAUAUCUAUUUAGUCCUCGUCAAACAGGAUUAUUACUUUUGCUGCAGCUAACAUAAAGGAUAAUUGUCCUCUUUGCUGACUGAUGCAGGAUUUUACGACACUUUAUGUGUUGUUCAACUCGAUCUCAAAUCAAGUAAGACUACCCGCUGAACUUAAGCAUAUCAAUAAGCGGAGGAA